AUAAGAGAUGUUUUAUUGAAAUUAACAGAAAUUAGUGAAAAUUCUAAAACUAAAAGUGAAGCUAAUUGCUUAGCAACAUAUGAGUUUGAAAAUUUUAAAUUUUUUUUGGGUAUGACUAUUUGAUAUAAUAUAUUAUUUGCUGUUAACUUAGUAAAAAUUUAUAAUCAAAAAAUAUGCAUAUUGAUGUUGCUAUAGAACAACUAAAA
rnacentral:lncRNA from 1 species